rnacentral:tRNA from 1 species
GUCCCCGUAGCUUACAGUCCAAAGCGUGGCACUGAAGAUGCCAAGAUGGUAUGCAACAUAAAACCCGAGGACA